AGGGGCGGGAAAUGGGAGGAGCGAAGGGCGGGACCCGGGAGAGCCAAUCAGAAGCUGGGGAGGGGCCUGAAGGAACCAAUGAGGGGACAAGAAGGGGAAGGGGCGGGGCAGAAAAGAGAUGAGAUGAAAAGCACCGGGGAGGGGCGGGGCUUGCAAAGGACACGCGGCAGGAAGUGGCUGUGACGUCACCACGCGCACCCAGCCCCCUCUGCUGUGACGUCAAUGGGAAGCCAAUGACGUCAUAUACACCAAGGCCACCCCCCCACACCUGCCACAGCCCCAGUGAUGACACCAGGCCAGUCAGGACUCAGCAGUUUAUUGGGAACUGGGGGUCCCUGUCACGAUAGUGGGGGGCGGUCCCACACACUCCCUGCAGCAACACGGGGUCCCCGUCACGAUAUGGGAGCGCUGUCACGAUCGGGGGGGUCCCGUCUCCAUACUCAUCCUCAGAGCGAUCCAGAGUCCUGUUGUGAUAUGGAGCUGUUGCAGAACACAGGUUCCUAUCGCGAUAGACGACCCCGUCAUGAUAUGGGGGACCCCCUGUCCCGGUACCACAGUGUGGGGCUGUGGGAAAAUGAGAAAUGCAUCAAAAUCUCGGUGUUUCACCCCACUUCAGGCCAUGCCGAGUCAUGGAAGUCCCUGUUUUCAAUAAAGGGACUAAAACCCAUUAUUUUAAUGAAUUUUUUAGUCAUUUUUUAGGCAUUUUGAGGCGUUUCCGGGCAGGAAAUGACACCCCAAAAAUGCUGGAAGGGAGGGGACAACCCCCUCUCCCCAACCCCUCUAAUUAUCAUUCAUUAAAGCUGCUCUGAGGCUAAUUAAAGCUGCUGACGAAGUUAAUGAGGCAUUUUGGGGGUGUGGGAAGAGCUGUUCCGACAUUUUCGGGGCGUUUCCUUCGGGAGAAACUAUUUCCUUAUUGUUAUUAAUUAUUUUCUGUGUUAUUCCACUCUUAAGAUUUUCAAAUGUAAUUUCCCCCCCAUCAUUUCAGCUAUUGGAAAAGCUCUCCCCCCAAAUAACGUGAAUUUAGGGAAAAUUUAGCUCAAUUAUAUUUUUUGCAGCAAUAAUCAGCCAAUUUGCAGCUGGUUUAAGUCAAAAUUUUAAAUUUAAAAUAAUUUUAGAAACUCUGACAUGGCCAAAGUUCACGUUUUCUACAUGAAAAUACCUCAAAAGCUGCUUUUUCACAGGGGCUGGUCCUGGAGGGGCCCUUCUAAGGUACUGGCCAUGAAAAAGGUGAAUCACAUUUUCACCAAAGUUAUUUUUUCAGGGAAAAAAAAAAAAAAAAGAGGGAGGAUUAAUUUCAAAUUAUUUCGGCAGCAAUAAUAAGUUCUUUCUUAUUUUUUUUAAACCUAACCCCCCUGAUUUCAGCUUAAUUUUAUUUUCUUGGUUCUGACACGCCUAAAAUUCUUUUUUUUUUUAGUAGAAAUGCCUCCAAAAACUAUUUUUUCCUCAGGAGCUGAGCCUGGAGAGGCCAUUUUAAAGCAUUUUCCUCUGGAAAGAUGCUCUGAAUCCAAUCUUGUGCGUUUCUUAGGAAUAAAAUGGGAGUAAAAAAAUCA
rnacentral:lncRNA from 1 species